GUAAUUGGCUUUGAUAUUGUAAUAAUUAUUUUGUUGGGGCGAUAGAAAAAUUUAAUAAACUUUUUUUAAAUUUAUCCAUUAAUUUAUGAGUAAGUGAUCCAUGUUUUAUGAUUAUAAGAUUAAAUUACCUUAGGGAUAACAGCGUAAUCUUUUUUAAGAGUCU
rnacentral:rRNA from 1 species